rnacentral:rRNA from 1 species
GAUGAACGCUGGCGGCGUGCCUAAUACAUGCCUGUCGAGCGAACAGACGAGGAGCUUGCUCCUCUGACGUUAGCGGCGGACGGGUGAGUAACACGUGGAUAACCUACCUAUAAGACUGGGAUAACUUCGGGAAACCGGAGCUAAUACCGGAUAAUAUAUUGAACCGCAUGGUUCAAUAGUGAAAGACGGUUUUGCUGUCACUUAUAGAUGGAUCCGCGCCGCAUUAGCUAGUUGGUAAGGUAACGGCUUACCAAGGCAACGAUGCGUAGCCGACCUGAGAGGGUGAUCGGCCACACUGGAACUGAGACACGGUCCAGACUCCUACGGGAGGCAGCAGUAGGGAAUCUUCCGCAAUGGGCGAAAGCCUGACGGAGCAACGCCGCGUGAGUGAUGAAGGUCUUCGGAUCGUAAAACUCUGUUAUUAGGGAAGAACAAAUGUGUAAGUAACUAUGCACGUCUUGACGGUACCUAAUCAGAAAGCCACGGCUAACUACGUG